UGAACGUAAACAUGCUGCUAUUUUCACUCAACAUUAAUACAAAAAUACAUCAAAAUGGGCUUUGCGACACUCCCGCCGGCGCUAAUGACACGCCAGUUGUUUUGGAUACGAUUCGCUGUGGAACCUCCAGCUGAUGGGACAACUUUGACAAGCAAGAUGUAACAAGCAAGUUUCAGGUGAGUGGCCAGUCGUCUGAGCCCACCUGUCUCCAAUCAAGCACCAGAUUUAAACCCUGGAUCUCCACUCAGACGGUGGAGGACAGAUUUGGACCCGCUUUUCCUGGAGCUGAACUUUUGUUACAGUUGAUUUAUUUUCUCCAGUGAUUUUUUUUGGUUAUUAAAUAGAGACUUUUACGGA